rnacentral:misc_RNA from 1 species
GGAGAUGCUCACAUUUAUAGAACUCAUAUCGGGCCUCUGCAGAAGCAGCUACAGAAGCUUCCUAGACCUUUUCCAGUGAGUAUGUUAGACUAUUAGAGUAUUCUGAAUUCAGUUGGAUUGACUAAAACUCUUAGGAACUACAUGCCAUGAUUAUUGAUUCCUUUGGUUUGAGGAGGUGGACUGGAAAAAUACAUGAAAAGAGAGGG